rnacentral:rRNA from 1 species
UACGAAGGGGGGCUAGCGUUGCUCGGAAUCACUGGGCGUAAAGCGCACGUAGGCGGAUUGUUAAGUCAGGGGUGAAAUCCUGGAGCUCAACUCCAGAACUGCCUUUGAUACUGACGAUCUUGAGUUCGGGAGAGGUGAGUGGAACUGCGAGUGUAGAGGUGAAAUUCGUAGAUAUUCGCAAGAACACCAGUGGCGAAGGCGGCUCACUGGCCCGAGUACUGACGCUGAGGCACGAAAGCGUGGGGAGCAAACAGG